UCCGAAUGAAAAUGAUCUCAGAUGUAACCGUGGUCUGAGGUCAGAUACCGGAGCCUACAGCACCGUGGUGCGUUUAAGCUUAUCACCUGCUUCCCAGUGGCAGAGCGAUAAAACCCAUGUGCCAACAAAA